rnacentral:piRNA from 1 species
UCUCAGGUGAAAAGCGUGCGCUCUGGGA